UACGGAGGGUGCAAGCGUUAAUCGGAAUUACUGGGCGUAAAGCGCGUGUAGGCGGCUCUUCAAGUCGAGUGUGAAAGCUCCAGGCUUAACCUGGGAAUUGCGCUCGAUACUGUUGAGCUAGAGUGUGGAAAGGGGCUACUGGAAUUCCUGGUGUAGCGGUGGAAUGCGCAGAUAGUCAGGAGGAACACCGGUGGCGAAAGGCGGG
rnacentral:rRNA from 1 species